GUGCUCGCUUCGUCAGCACAUAUACUAAAAUUGGAACGAUACAGAGAUUAGCAUGGCCCCUGCGCAAAGAUGACAUGCAAAUUUGUGAAGCGUUCCAUAAAAAG
rnacentral:snRNA from 1 species